ACUAACUGCUGUACCAAGUUUGUCCUCCUGUUCUCACCGUAGCUCCUCUCCUAUCGGUCACGCCCUCCAGUUAGCUUGCAGGUGGCUAUGUACUCAUUAGCGUCAAUGGCACUUUCUAUAAGACCGGCACCGGAGGUGGGCUAGUAAGUGAUCCCUAGGCUCCGUACGUCCUCCCUACACUGUGUUCGCUGUGCUGUCACCUAUGAAAGGUAUUUGGCUGUGUACCAGACGCUUCCGGGUAGUGUUUUGUUGAUCUACCGAAGGUCUUGACUGAAAAGACGCCGUGUACGCGCAGGUUGCACUUUCUAUUGGGAGAUGCGUUAAGGUUUGCGUACUGGAGAGAUACCAGGGAGUCCCAUUUCCAUUCAUGUUGAGUGCUGUAUUCCUAGAGGUAAAAGGAAACCGUGUUGUAUUGUAUCUGUAUUGGUUUAGGCUGUAUUUACCAUAAACAAUGGAUUUUAACUGUGUUUGUUUACUCCUUUAGAAAGAUUGCCACUGCUGCUUUGCCUCCU